rfam:Oryza glumipatula chromosome 11, whole genome shotgun sequence.
GAUAUCAACUGAAAAAGUCAUCAACAACAAAGUUGAAUAACUCAUCAAGAUCUAAAACUUUUAUUUUGGUCAUUUCUUCAUACGAUAAAGUGAUAGUAGCAUUUUUUAUAAAAUUGACAUAUCUCUUAUCUGGUUUUAUAAACUAUAACACAUAUAUGUAAAAUUUAUAAAUAAUAUUACUAACAUUUCGUCGGAUGAAGAAAUAACAAAAAUAAAAGUUUUAGAUCUUGAUGAGUUAUUCAACUUUGUUGUUGAUGACUUUUUCAAUUGAAAUC